rnacentral:rRNA from 1 species
UACGUAGGGUGCAAGCGUUAAUCGGAAUUACUGGGCGUAAAGCGUGCGCAGGCGGUUAUGUAAGACAGGUGUGAAAUGCCCGGGCUUAACCUGGGAACUGCAUUUGUGACUGCAUGGCUAGAGUUUGGCAGAGGGGGGUAGAAUUCCACGUGUAGCAGUGAAAUGCGUAGAUAUGUGGAGGAACACCGAUGGCGAAGGCAGCCCCCUGGGUCAAGACUGACGCUCAUGCACGAAAGCGUGGGGAGCAAACAGG